UGCCGCGUGUGUGAAGAAGGCCUUCGGGUUGUAAAGCACUUUUGUCCGGAAAGAAAUCCUUGGCUCUAAUACAGUCGGGGGAUGACGGUACCGGAAGAAUAAGCACCGGCUAACUACGUGCCAGCAGCCGCGGUAAUACGUAGGGUGCGAGCGUUAAUCGGAAUUACUGGGCGUAAAGCGUGCGCAGGCGGUUUGCUAAGACCGAUGUGAAAUCCCCGGGCUCAACCUGGGAACUGCAUUGGUGACUGGCAGGCUAGAGUAUGGCAGAGGGGGGUAGAAUUCCACGUGUAGCAGUGAAAUGCGUAGAGAUGUGGAGGAAUACCGAUGGCGAAGGCAGCCCCCUGGGCCAAUACUGACGCUCAUGCACGAAAGCGUGGGGAGCAAACAGGAUUAGAUACCCUGGUAGUCCACGCCCUAAACGAUGUCAACUAGUUGUUGGGGAUUCAUUUCCUUAGUAACGUAGCUAACGCGUGAAGUUGACCGCCUGGGGAGUACGGUCGCAAGAUUAAAACUCAAAGGAAUUGACGGGGACCCGCACAAGCGGUGGAUGAUGUGGAUUAAUUCGAUGCAACGCGAAAAACCUUACCUACCCUUGACAUGGUCGGAAUCCCGCUGAGAGGUGGGAGUGCUCGAAAGAGAACCGGCGCACAGGUGCUGCAUGGCUGUCGUCAGCUCGUGUCGUGAGAUGUUGGGUUAAGUCCCGCAACGAGCGCAACCCUUGUCCUUAGUUGCUACGCAAGAGCACUCUAAGGAGACUGCCGGUGACAAACCGGAGGAAGGUGGGGAUGACGUCAAGUCCUCAUGGCCCUUAUGGGUAGGGCUUCACACGUCAUACAAUGGUCGGAACAGAGGG
rnacentral:rRNA from 1 species